rnacentral:rRNA from 1 species
UACAGAGGUCUCAAGCGUUGUUCGGAUUCAUUGGGCGUAAAGGGUGCGUAGGUGGCGCGGUAAGUCGGGUGUGAAAUUUCGGAGCUUAACUCCGAAACUGCAUUCGAUACUGCCGUGCUUGAGGACUGGAGAGGAGACUGGAAUUUACGGUGUAGCAGUGAAAUGCGUAGAUAUCGUAAGGAAGACCAGUGGCGAAGGCGGGUCUCUGGACAGUUCCUGACGCUGAGGCACGAAGGUCAGGGGAGCAAACGGG